rnacentral:rRNA from 1 species
AGCGAACGUUAGCGGCGGGCUUAACACAUGCAAGUCGAGCGAGAAAGGGGCUUCGGCCCUGAGUACAGCGGCGGACGGGUGAAUAACACGUAGGUAACCUUCCUUCCAGCGGGGGACAACGGUCCGAAAGGACCGCUAAUACCGCAUACGUUCCCUGGGACCCUGGUCCCGGGGAGGAAAGCUCCGCAAGGGGCACUGGAUGAGGGGCCUGCGUAGCAUCAGCUAGUUGGUGGGGUAAUGGCCUACCAAGGCUAAGACGCUUAGCUGGUCUGAGAGGAUGAUCAGCCACACUGGGACUGAGACACGGCCCAGACUCCUACGGGAGGCAGCAGUGGGGAAUAUUGGACAAUGGGCGCAAGCCUGAUCCAGCCACGCCGCGUGAGUGAUGAAGGCCUUCGGUCGUAAGACUCUGUGGGGAGGGACGAAGUGGCGCCGUGAAGAGCGGCGAGUGACGGUACCUCCUUACGUCAAGCACCGGCUAACUUCGUGCCAGCAGCCGCGGU